AGAGAAUCGUUCUAUUCUUCAUUUAUUUUACUAUGUUUAGAUUGUCGAAUAAUUUAUUUCCUUCCUGACUUUUUUCUCUUAAAGUAGUAAUUUUCAGGAAAACAUAUUCACAUAAACAUUUAAUAACGAGAUACAUUUGAAUAGGAAAAAAAAUAUUUAUCGAAAACGAAUGAUUCCUUUGACGCGUCCUAUAUCCGCCAUGCAAAGACUUUCUUCCCUCCAGCUUCUUUGCUUUCCGUCUCGCGCAUCGUCUCGUUUUCUUGGCCUCAACGACCGGAAAGGCGGACCUUCUCGACGCAUUCCAGAAAGAUGACGUGGCCGAAGUACUUGAGAAAACGUGCUUGAUCGUACGUUUCUCUAAAUGUGAGUCCUUCCCUUUUCCCUCUCACUCUCUCUUUCAUCAAGUGAUUAGAUAUAAUUGUAUUAUUGAAUUAUCACCGACGAAUAAGAUCUAUUGGUUUGACUAUAAAGUAUAACGCAUGAGAAAAAGAGAGAGAAAUAAAUAUUUUAAAUGUACAGUUGGAAACGUCUACGGAAUUUACGCUUUUAUAGACCGUUUUCAUUUCCCACGAUACAAUGAAACACGACGGAUAAACGAGAAGCGGACGAACGAAUUACUGACUCGUACUGUAAACUUGAUUCCGGACAUACGUACGAGAAAAGAACGGUAGUAGGGAAAAGAGAAGGAAAAAAGAAGGCUCAAUAUAUAACAGGCGGUAAAAACAAACGAAGAGAUAGAAGGAAAGAAAAAAGAAACAAAAAAAGAAAGAGAAAAAGAGAAAGAGAGAGAGAGAGAGAGAGAGAAAGAUAGAAACGGAAAGAACAAAGCAGAGAAAAUUCAUAUACGAUUCCGCUAUUGUGUGGAUCGCUUCUCCUCGUUCCCUUGUCGUAAUUACUGUUAGCCUUCCAUUCAAUUGCGAGCAUUAAAGCUAGUCAUGCCUAACAGUACGGCGUCUGGGAAUCUCGUGUGAUGCGUGUCAAAAGAUAGAAAAGAGAGAGAGAGAGAGAGAGAAUAUUGGAACAAAUACCAGAAGUUUUUUUGCGAACGAAUUUGCACCGCUGAUAGUUGUCGAACAUUAACUGCUUACUACAUGCGACGCGUCACUUAUACCGAUAAAAGAUACAGAGAACCGUUUUUUCAAAAAAUAAUAAAAAAAAAAAAAAAAAAAAAAAAAAGAAAAUGGUAAGAUAGCGUGUAGUAUGACGUACCACUUCCAGAUUUAGACUCUUUCUAUUGUACGAUGUUCAAAGAAAGGUUGCGAGUAAGUCAGAAGAUCGUCGACACUUUUAUUGCAAGCAGUAUCCACGAUCUCAAAAGAAAAAUAUUUAUUUAUUCUUGUCGUCGAUGACUGUGCUCGUUGGUUUCUUCGUAUUAAAUAAUAAUCAUGAUUAAUAAGUACAUAAUAUUAAUUUUGUGUCUGCAUGAUCGUAGAAUAAAUGGUGUGAUCGUGGUAACACAAAGAAAGUCUAAAGUUCUAAUUCCAAAGUCACAACUUUAUUCUAAUCGCGUCCGUAUUGAGCGAAUGAAUAAACAAAGUGAAACCUCCCGACACUCCAGAGAUUCAUAGUCGCACAUUUACAAGAGAGAGCUCGUCGUUGAUCGAACGACGCGAUCGUGUGUAACUGUAGCCGAUGGAGAGUAUACAUCGCAUUCGACUCCAAUUGCAAGAGAAGCAAGGUGUAACCUUCCUUCCACCAACCACUAAAAUUCCAUCCCAAGGUGACGUUUUUUGCAUACCUUUUGCUCUACCCGACGAAUCGUACUUACGAUGAAAAUUAUCCGAACAAAAAAAAAGAAAAUAGAAGUUGAAACAAUGACGUUAGCCAGGAAGCAUACAAGGUUCUGCACUUCGAACGAAUGGAUUGACAUUUUUAAAAUUAUACUAAAGGAACGUGCCCAAUUGUUAAGCGAUCCUUUAUGGCGUCGAAUAUGACGUUAAAAUACGUGUAUCUAGCAACGUAUCGACCGGAGAAUUAAAAUCCAAUUGCGAAUAAUCGAUUCAAACAAAGCUUUUUCUGAGAUCUUAAAAACGAAGGGACAAGUUUCACACGUCGUUAAUGACCAAUAUAAAUCGCAGGUAGGUACGCUAUAGCGAGUGGAAAAUUCAAGCGUCGCAAAAGCGACGCUUGCAUUUCAAACCGGUUUGAAAUAACAUACCGAAACCACAAUAUUUUUGAGCAUACCACAUGAGAACAGAGAACUCGCGUUAAAAGCAAGAACAUAAACCGGAUCCAUGCUACAAUAUUCAAUUUUUGUGACUAGAAAAUGCAAAUGAUAAAAAGGCAAAACGUUGCCUGUUAGACUCUCUAUCUAGCUGAAUGAUCUACAAUUAAUAAUCUAUGCCGAAUAAUGAAAGGAUAAAUAAUGAUCGACGAAUAUAAUAUAAAUUGCAUGCGUUCAUUCACUAUCUCUCAAUCGUCGAAACGUUAACGAAGCGAUUUCAAAAAUUAAUUACAUGAUGAAUCCACACGAGGAAUAUAUAAAAAGAGAAAACAAGAAAAGAAAGUAUAUGUUCUCUCAAAUCUUAUAUAGGAAUAAAUACGCAUUUUUAUUAAAAUACUAGAAUUUAUUGGAGUGAGAGCGAGUGAGAAUAAUAAAGAAAAUGACAAAAAUAAGUAUC